GGACAAUUGAUGAUAACACGAUUAAAACACACCAUCUUUCGGGACUGAUUGGUGCACAAGCUGUUCCAUGCUGUCUAAUCUGCAAUUCUGAUGUCC